rnacentral:rRNA from 1 species
GAUGAACGCUGGCGGCGUGCCUAAUACAUGCAAGUCGAGCGAAUGGAUUAAGAGCUUGCCCUUAUGAAGUUAGCGGCGGACGGGCGAGUAACACGUGGGUAACCUGCCCAUAAGACUGGGAUAACUCCGGGAAACCGGGGCUAAUACCGGAUAACAUUUUGAACCGCAUGGUUCGAAAUUGAAAGGCGGCUUCGGCUGUCACUUAUGGAUGGACCCGCGUCGCAUUAGCUAGUUGGUGAGGUAACGGCUCACCAAGGCAACGAUGCGUAGCCGACCUGAGAGGGUGAUCGGCCACACUGGGACUGAGACACGGCCCAGACUCCUACGGGAGGCAGAAGUAGGGAAUCUUCCGCAAUGGACGAAAGUCUGACGGAGCAACGCCGCGUGAGUGAUGAAGGCUUUCGGGUCGUAAAACUCUGUUGUUAGGGAAGAACAAGUGCUAGUUGAAUAAGCUGGCACCUUGACGGUACCUAACCAGAAAGCCACGGCUAACUACGUGCCAGCCGCCGCGGUAA